rnacentral:rRNA from 1 species
UAACAGUUGGAAACGACUGCUAAUACCGCAUAAGCGCACAGGAUCGCAUGAUCCGGUGUGAAAAACUCCGGUGGUAUGAGAUGGACCCGCGUCUGAUUAGCCAGUUGGCAGGGUAACGGCCUACCAAAGCGACGAUCAGUAGCCGACCUGAGAGGGUGACCGGCCACAUUGGGACUGAGACACGGCCCAAACUCCUACGGGAGGCAGCAGUGGGGAAUAUUGCACAAUGGGGGAAACCCUGAUGCAGCGACGCCGCGUGAGCGAAGAAGUAUUUCGGUAUGUAAAGCUCUAUCAGCAGGGAAGAAGAAUGACGGUACCUGACUAAGAGGCACCGGCUAAAUACGUGCCAGCAGCCGCGGUAAUACGUAUGGUGCAAGCGUUAUCCGGAUUUACUGGGUGUAAAGGGAGCGCAGGCGGUGCGGCAAGUCUGAUGUGAAAGCCCGGGGCUCAACCCCGGUACUGCAUUGGAAACUGUCGUACUAGAGUGUCGGAGGGGUAAGUGGAAUUCCUAGUGUAGCGGUGAAAUGCGUAGAUAUUAGGAGGAACACCAGUGGCGAAGGCGGCUUACUGGACGAUAACUGACGCUGAGGCUCGAAAGCGUGGGGAGCAAACAGGAUUAGAUACCCUGGUAGUCCACGCCGU